CCCAUGUUAGGGGGUGUGUUGCAUGGCCCAUGCCCCAAAUGCCUAUUUAUAUAUUAGAAUAUUCCUAUUUCAAUCCCACCACGUGCGACUUCCUUUGAAAUAUUGAACCCGAAGCGUACUAUUUAGAAUAAGCUAUACAUUUUCUUCACAAUACAACUACCCUGUUCUCUACCGUACUAAGGCCUGUUGCGACUCGGGACCUCUGUUCAUGAGGUCAUAUCCGAACUAUCAGUAUUUCUCUAUUUGAAAUGCCAAUUGUUGGCAAAGGUGAAAUCACCGUCUUUGUUUACGUGAAAGGUGAAGAUAACGAACAGUGAUCAUAACUCCUAUAGUUUUAGAUUUGAAGUGGACAUUGCAUGAGUGGGGGCUCGAACUCAUAGCAUCCUGGUUACAAAACAAAUGAUCUACCACUGAGCUGCCGAAACCGGUCCUGAAUAUCAAAUAAAUAGCUACAAUCUACUUUCUUAUUAUGAAUGGGUUAUUUGAACCAUUGUCAUAUGCAUGUUAUAACGCAUAAUCUAUAAUUGAUCUUUGAUCAUUGGUUUUUAUUUCGUCUCUUCAAGAAUUUUGCAUAUCGAGACGUCAAGAGCUAAAGGUGAAGUUUAACAAAUAUAGACCUCUCCAUGACUCUCAUUGCAGUGAUAGUUCUUUUUUGUGCUGAUCCCUGCUUUGAAACAGUAUUUCGAUUUCUAAGAUAUUUUCCUAAAUACACAUGCUUCUCACAUCUGUAUGCUGAGGGUUUUCCGUAGGAGCAACCGCUACCUAAUUACGUCUUACGUUUGACACCAUGUAAGGCUUAAAAUAAUGACCUGCUGUCAGGAAACUAAUGGGUUAGAAAUUGAUUGAUUUGAUUGCUUUACGUCUUGUCGGGAAUUUUCCACUCAGAUUGAAACGUCACCAGCUGUAGGUGAAGUACCAUAUAUUUAGACCUAUAUUUAGCGCUCAUGGUUGUAGCAGUGAGGGAUCCCUAUUGUGCCAACGCUUGGCGCGACACGGGAUAUCCGUUUUAAGGUCAUAUUCAAAAGACACUUGAUUCUCACUUCUAGAUGCCGGGCGUUUGGCUAUGAAGCAAUCACUACCUAUUUUAACAAGUUAUGUUUGUCACAAUUAAUGUAUAUAUUUCCCGAUUAUAGCUCCAUAGAUGUUAGGAUCUUUCUCAAGUUAAAUAAUUAAAUACCUCAAUGUGUUUCCAUAGUAUGCGAAUCGUUCACCAGCUAUGCUUGUACAUUUAAAUCCCGUGCAGUUAGUUUGGGUGUAGCAAUUGCCGGGUGCGGACGUGUUUAUUCGCAUUGAUAUUCAUGUAUUUUAUCUAGUAAUAGUCAUCAAGUUUUGAUACCUUGUGACCAGAGUCCACUACUUCUGAGAUCCCUUCUUCAUUUGACUCCUAUUUGAAAAACGGUAAAGGAUGAACAUUUGUGUAUAGCUUGAGUGUAUUAAAACAGUAUAAACCUUAAAA